rnacentral:rRNA from 1 species
UAGGGAAUCUUCCGCAAUGGGCGAAAGCCUGACGGAGCAACGCCGCGUGAGUGAAGAAGGAUUUCGGUUCGUAAAGCUCUGUUGUUAGGGAAGAAUGAUUGUGUAGUAACUAUACACAGUAGAGACGGUACCUAACCAGAAAGCCACGGCUAACUACGUGCCAGCAGCCGCGGUAAUACGUAGGUGGCAAGCGUUGUCCGGAAUUAUUGGGCGUAAAGCGCGCGCAGGUGGUUUAAUAAGUCUGAUGUGAAAGCCCACGGCUCAACCGUGGAGGGUCAUUGGAAACUGUUAAACUUGAGUGCAGGAGAGAAAAGUGGAAUUCCUAGUGUAGCGGUGAAAUGCGUAGAGAUUAGGAGGAACACCAGUGGCGAGGGCGGCUUUUUGGCCUGUAACUGACACUGAGGCGCGAAAGCGUGGGGAGCAAACAGGAUUAGAUACCCUGGUAGUCCACGCCGUAAACGAUGAGUGCUAAGUGUUGGUCUCAUAAGAGAUCAGUGCUGCAGCUAACGCAUUAAGCACUCCGCCUGGGGAGUACGACCGCAAGGUUG